GCCCAUUAAAAUAUUGUUGCUUUAGAAUAUGUAUUUGGCUAGAGUAUUUCACAGGGAACUGGUUGUUUUUCAGAAUAUAUGUUUUUCAUGUUUCAAAAUAUUAUUGGAAGAUUCACUGAAACUGAAUUAAAUCUUAUUGCUUUUUGACAUUCUGGUAAACUCAAGUGUAUGUACAAAGAUUCGUGCCACUCUCCUACUGGCUUAGUUUGUAUAGUUCUUUCAUUUGUAUGCAUGUUUACAAAACAAUAAUAAUACAUAACAUAAAAUAAAUCAUCAACCCAAACAUUUGAAUAGGGCUGGGAAGCACUGUUAUGUGCUCAUAGGGUUACAAGAGCAGGAGCAACCAACUGUGGUUGAAUUCCAGGCUGAAGCUGAAGUCAGCAAUGUCAGGUCAAACAUCCUACGCCAUUAAUCUGAGCCCCAAUUCUUUUCCUUGUAAAUUAUUUACAGCAGUGGCUCCCAUAUAGACAGCCUUCAAUCCUGUUGGCCAUUCCACAUUGUUUCCCUCAUCUUUUGCAAUUUUCACAACAAAUUUAUGAUGUGGAUGCACAAAUCAUUUUUGGAUUUCAACCCAGCUUUUUCUGAAGUAAAGAGCCACACUCUUCUUUGUAACCUACACCUGUGUUUCUGAUGUCAUCAUUCAUGAACAUGAAGAGCACUCUUGGAUCCUGGUGACAUGCAGCUGCAUGUCCACAGGGUUAGCAGAGAGACUGUCUGUGGGACUGCCCUAUGCUAAAUUUCUGUCUUUCAGACCUUGGGCCAGCAUCAUGUCCUGGGAGCUAAGUUGAGUCUGCCAUGAACUACUGCCUGUCUGCCAUGCCACCCUCCUUUGAGCCAGCUUAUUAUGGAUUUAAACCUCUACAAACUCUCUUUUUCCAUGGUUGAACUACAAGAAAAGAACAAGAUCUAUUAUGCAUGAAUUACCAAAGUUGAACGAAGAAGACCUAAAAAUUCUAAACAACCCAAUAUCAAUCAAUGAAAUUGAAAAUGUAAUUAAACACUUACCAACUAAGAAAAUCCCAGGUCCUGAU